GAUGAACGCUGGCGGCAUGCCUAAUACAUGCAAGUCGAACGAAUUCUUAUUUCUAGUAAAUCCCCAUCCUUUUGGAGCUUUUCUAGAACUUAAGAGUUAGUGGCGGACGGGUGAGUAACACGUUGAUACCUGCCCUAAAGUGGGGAAUAACUGGCCGAAAGGUCAGCUAAUACCGCAUGUUGAUCCUUCGGGAUUAAAGACUUCGGUCGCUUUAGGAGGGGUCUGCGUCUGAUUAGCUAGNGGUAGGGUAAAGGCCUACCAAGCGACGAUCAGUAGCUGGUUCGAGAGGAUGACCAGCCACACUGGGAC
rnacentral:rRNA from 1 species